rnacentral:lncRNA from 1 species
UGGUACCAGGAUAAGAAGAAAUUUUAAAAAAUCAAAUUUGGGAGAAGACACGUAAACAGCAGAUUUUUCUAGAGAGCUGAAAAAGCACUUGAAAUAGAGAUUUUCACCAAUCUUGGAUCUGGUUUUGUCCAGGACUGGACAGAAUGACUGUAAUGGCACAACAAGGCUGGAUCAUCAAUGAAAAUCUGAACUCCAAGCAGAAACCACUCAAGUCCUGAAGCAGAAGGUCAGGGGUGAGACCUUC